UAUUUUUAUUAUAUUUUAUCUUUCUAUUCCCAAACCCUAAGAUACCAUCUUCACCAAACACUCUUUUGAAACUAGAGAUGAGAAUGAGAGACCAUCUUCAUGACUGAUUUUGUUCACUUCGACGACUGAUUUUUUUCACUCCGACGAAUGAGACUCAGAAGCUCACCAUUUCAGUUUUCUCUCCGAUGACGAUUUGUUUCACUCGCAGAACCUAAUUUUACGAUUUCACUUGCAGAACCUAAUUGUUCAGGAGCUCAGAAGCUCACAUUACACUCUCAAAAUCUGAACUUUGCUCAGGUGCUCACAGUUUCACUCUUAGAAUCAGAACACUGCUCAGGUGCUCACGAUUUCUCAUUCUUUGCUACUGAAAGUCCAAAAAACACUGUUGCAAGCAGAUGUUCAAUCAAAGUCUGACAAAUCUCCUGUGACGGUGGCUGAUUAUGAAAGAGUUGGGUUCUGCUUCAUUUUCAUUAGUGGCUAAGGAGGAAAGAUAUGAAGAAAUAUUACAAGAGAAAAUAGAGUCUCAGACAGAUAUUGAUCAAUCUAAAGCAUAUUACGAAGCCGCGGGAGGAGCAAAAAAGAAAAGAAUAUAUGGUCUUGGAUUUGAAGGAAAACAUUACUAUAAGUCAAAUAAUUUUGUCUCUGUGGAUCUAAUGCUUCAUUAUCAGUAUUACCUUCGGUUUCUCAACAAGCAACAAUCAAUAUGUCUGAGUUUGUGACACAAUUGAUUCCUGCACUUAUUGAUCACUUUCUUCCCGUAGUUCUUAAGCGGGUACAUGAAGUGAUUUCUUCACCACCUACUGAUAAUCCAUCUGGUGUUACACAUGUAGUUCCUCCCCUGCUAGUACUAAUGUUGAGGAGGAUGAUCUUUUAGUUUCAGAUGCUGAUCAUAGCCUUGACCAAGCUUGCAUUAGAUUUUGAUAUUGUCUAUUUUUGUAAGUACAAAUUGUGUUCCAUAAUAUUUGGUGGAUGUUGGUCCAUUUGAUUUAAAAAUUGUUGAUAGACACUUGUAUUUAUGGAUGUUUUGGAUAUAAUUAUGUUGUCAGAUUCGAUAAGUAUUAUUCUA